CAGCCGCCACGGGAAUACGGAGGGUGCAAGCGUUAAUCGGAAUUACUGGGCGUAAAGCGCACGCAGGCGGUUUGUUAAGUCAGAUGUGAAAUCCCCGAGCUUAACUUGGGAACUGCAUUUGAAACUGGCAAGCUAGAGUCUUGUAGAGGGGGGUAGAAUUCCAGGUGUAGCGGUGAAAUGCGUAGAGAUCUGGAGGAAUACCGGUGGCGAAGGCGGCCCCCUGGACAAAGACUGACGCUCAGGUGCGAAAGCGUGGGGAGCAAACAGGAUUAGAUACCCCAGUAGUCCCUGUCUCUUAUCC
rnacentral:rRNA from 1 species